GGGGUGGCUUACACAUGCAGUCGAACGAUGAACCACUUCGGUGGGGAUUAGUGGCGAACGGGUGAGUAACACGUGGGCAAUCUGCCCUGCACUCUGGGACAAGCCCUGGAAACGGGGUCUAAUACCGGAUACUGACCAUUGCAGGCAUCUGUGAUGGUCGAAAGCUCCGGCGGUGCAGGAUGAGCCCGCGGCCUAUCAGCUUGUUGGUGAGGUAGUGGCUCACCAAGGCGACGACGGGUAGCCGGCCUGAGAGGGCGACCGGCCACACUGGGACUGAGACACGGCCCAGACUCCUACGGGAGGCAGCAGUGGGGAAUAUUGCACAAUGGGCGAAAGCCUGAUGCAGCGACGCCGCGUGAGGGAUGACGGCCUUCGGGUUGUAAACCUCUUUCAGCAGGGAAGAAGCGAAAGUGACGGUACCUGCAGAAGAAGCGCCGGCUAACUACGUGCCAGCAGCCGCGGUAAUACGUAGGGCGCGAGCGUUGUCCGGAAUUUAUUGGGCGUAAAGAGCUCGUAGGCGGCUUGUCACGUCGGUUGUGAAAAGCCCGGGGCUUAACCCCGGGUCUGCAGUCGAUACGGGCAGGCUAGAGUUCGGUAGGGGAGAUCGGAAUUCCUGGUGUAGCGGUGAAAUGCGCAGAUAUCAGGAGGAACACCGGUGGCGAAGGCGGAUCUCUGGGCCGAUACUGACGCUGAGGAGCGAAAGCGUGGGGAGCGAACAGGAUUAGAUACCCUGGUAGUCCACGCCGUAAACGGUGGGCACUAGGUGUGGGCAACAUUUCCACGUUGUCCGUGCCGCAGCUAACGCAUUAAGUGCCCCGCCUGGGGAGUACGGCCGCAAGGCUAAAACUCAAAGGAAUUGACUGGGGCCCGCACAAGCGGCGGAGCAUGUGGCUUAAUUCGACGCAACGCGAAGAACCUUACCAAGGCUUGACAUACACCGGAAACGUCCAGAGAUGGGCGCCCCCUUGUGGUCGGUGUACAGGUGGUUGCAUGGCUGUCGUCAGCUCGUGUAUGGAGAUGUUUGGUUAAGUCCUCGUAUGAGCGCAACCCUUGUCCCGUGUUGCCAGCAGGCCCUUGUGGUGCUGGGGACUCACGGGAGACCGCCGGGGUCAACUCGGAGGAAGGUGGGGACGACGUCAAGUCAUCAUGCCCCUUAUGUCUUGGGCUGCACACGUGCUACAAUGGCCGGUACAAUGAGCUGCGAUACCGCGAGGUGGAGCGAAUCUCAAAAAGCCGGUCUCAGUUCGGAUUGGGGUCUGCAACUCGACCCCAUGAAGUCGGAGUCGCUAGUAAUCGCAGAUCAGCAUUGCUGCGGUGAAUACGUUCCCGGGCCUUGUACACACCGCCCGUCACGUCACGAAAGUCGGUAACACCCGAAGCCGGUGGCCCAACCCCUUGUGGGAGGGAGCUUUCGAAGGU
rnacentral:rRNA from 1 species